rnacentral:lncRNA from 1 species
AAAAUGUUGCAAGGCCCGCGCGUGCCAGGGGACGACCAGCGCGCCGGUUCGGCCGAUGCGCGGGUGGAAAACGAUUCCCUUGAAUAAAAUAGCAUUAGGUAUGCGGGUACGUGGUUACAGAUAAUCUUCCCGUAUCCGUACCGGGCUUACCGAUGGUACAAAUUAUUUUUUCCAUUUAUUCUUCUCAAACACUUGCCCUAAUUUAAUCUUUUCCAAAGGGAUUGAAGAGGCUUGAAAAGGACUGUGGAGGAAUUCAACAUACAGGGGAUUUAAUCCUCACAAUCCCCUUUAAUCCCCCUCAAACCCAAUGCAAUCGAACAAGGCAUAAUACGGUUUGCCGGUUGGCUAAAGAGUGUUUAUACACAGACCAGCAGUCGAUCGAAUUUUCCGGAAUUUUCGUUCCAAAUCAACAAAAUCUGCAAACCGAAAUAGGAGUACAUCUGAAAGUGACAAGCUGGCAUGCAGAAAUUUACAUAUCGCCAUGACUGACUAGCCCGCAAGGUCAAACAACAGGCAAGCAACUACUCCUCUAGGACGGAAAACAAACAUCACAAGUAGGGUGCAGUACUUGCUAACCGGGUUAUUGGGCCGGUAAUAACCGGACCGGAGCAUGUAUGUACAAGAGGCAGCCUCACUUCACUUGACUUGAACUCGGAGUUUGGUUGAGCUAAGCUCGAUCAGCCCAUGAUCAGCGCGCGAGCAGAACGGGGACGGCGUGCGGCGGCGGCACGGGCGGCGAAGGGGCGGCGAAGGGGAGGGUGCGGAGGACGAUGAAGCGCACGCGGCGGGGCAGGAUGCGCAGCGGCGCCGCGCACAGCAGCCGCUCCAGCGCCCGCGCCACCGCCGCCGUGUACUCCUCCAGCAGCUCCGCCAUGACCGCCACCAGGAUCAUGGUCGAUCCGAUAUCAAUCCUCUGCUCUGCUUGUUGCGCCUGUGUAGCGGUGAGUGCGGUGUGAUGGCCCUGUUUGGGUUGGGUUGUGCUGAGCCUUGCUGCUGCUGCUGCUUGCUUGGAGCCUGGGCUGUUGGGUCGCAGUUUCCAGAAACGGGGGCUUCGCGGCGGAUAGCUUUGUUCGGCCUAGUGUCGGUCUUAUCCGAUGCAACCGCUGUGGGACCCUGGCGGCUGAUCUUUUGGGGAGCGAACAGCUGGGGCGCCGAGUCACUAGCAAUGCUAAAUGACUCUUUUGGCCAGCGCGCUAGGUAGGCACAAAAAUCACUAAUAAGAAACUGCGACCAACACCGACAGAAAAACGAGAGAAAUUCAUAAAUUCUUCGAUGUUAUGGCUUAUAGUACAAUUGUUGCAUCACGAGACUUGUCACAGUAUUGCCUGCGUUAUGCUUUCAGACAGUUUUUCCAAUUUCAAUGCAUGCAAUCAACGCUUUCUAGCAUGUCGGGCCAAUCUUGCUUCUCAUUUGAUGUCAUCAACAGUUUUGUGUCUUCCUAGUUGGGUGUACAAAGAUAGACCGGACCAAAGACGCGGAUGAUCACUUUGACGAACUUACACACUGACUCAAUUGUAGCAUCUUCAUGAAUGCAAAGAUAUUUUUCGGCAUAGUCAACCGGAAUGCCAUAUGCAAUCAUCCGCAUAGUUGUCGACAUUCUUUGAUAUGCGCUAAGACCCUUCAAGCCCGCGGCGUUUCUCCUUUGAGUAAAAAAAUCGAGAAUUGGCCUCGCAAGCUUGCACUAAUUUUAUGAAGAGGGGUCGGGCAUUAAAUUCCUUCUUAGAAAGAGGUACGGCGGAUAUGUGGAAUUGUCCACGAAGUAGUCUUCGAUCAACAUCAUGUUCCCGAGAUGACGGUUCCGAGGGAUGCAAAGAUGGCCGAUGGUCAAUCCUCGUCGUCUCUUUCGGUUCCGGUCCUCGUGCUCCUUCACGGCGAGCAACAUCACCACCAUCUGCUAUUGAUGGUUCUUGAGCAGCGACCCUACAUCUGAGUCGUCAGAGCAGGAUGGAUAAUCAUGCAAAAAUUCCUUGCAAGGGCUCAAAUCCAUAUACAAAUCCCACCCGAGCUCGCAUGGAUGGAAAUUCAUCUUCAAAUCGUUCACUAAGUCAAACUAGAAGAUGGCAUAAAAAGACUCACCAGCGGCGGUCAAUCCUGGGUGACGGCGGCCCGAUGGGGUGACGGCGACUUAGCAGAGGUCUAUUCGGGGCACCGUGGUUCGACGAAUCCGGGUGGACAGGGAAGCGACACGGUGGAGCGGGGUCUGGUGCAGCCCGGCGACGUGAUUCUGUCGGCAGAUAUUGGACGAAAUCGAAGCCGACAUGCGUUCAACAACGAUGCCGGCUGGCUACGGGAUGGAGAUGGGGAACAAGCGCGGGCUGAAAUGUCCCUUCCGCCAACCACUUCCUCGAGAUACAGGACAAGGGGGAGGGGUGUUUUCGCGGGUGGGCAAUUUACCGCGCCCCUUAAAAAAUUAAAAGGCCGGACACAUUAAUUAGAUGAAUGGAUUGGGACCUCACAAAAGAAAAAACAUGUAAUUAGUUGGUAGUUGAUAGCAAUAAAAUCAGUUGUUAUAUGUACGACCGGCCUCUCCACACAUCGAAACACAUGCUUGUGCUUCAGCACCAUGAGUUCAUCAGGCAUUUGCAAGCACCUCAAACAUGUUUACAAGCUCAUCGUAGACAACUUCCUAACCAUGAUGACCAUACCAAUGGCCGCAGCCGCUGUGGUUGUGGCGGGAAGUCUCGAGCCAGAUAAGAUCGUGAGCCGGCUCCGAGCCCUUACGCUUACGCCGGCGCACCUCUUCUUGUUCGUCUUCCUCCCCGCGGUCAUCGUCGUGUAUCUACUAUCGCGGCCACGGAAGGUGUACCUCGUCGACUACGCCUGCUUCCAUGGCACUCACCACUACCGCGUCCCAUUUGCCUCCUUCGUGGAGCACGCGCGCGAAACACCCACCUUCAACGAUGCGAGCAUCCGCUUCAUGUCGCGGCUUCUCCAGAGCUCGGGCCUCGGGGAGGAGACGUGCGGGCCCUCGCCGGCCCGCUACAUCCCACCGCACAGGCAUUGCACACUGGACGCCGCCCGCGAGGAGGCCGAGCUCGUCGUCUUCUCCGCCAUCGACCAACUCUUCUCCAAGACGAAGGUCUCUCUUGACACCAUCCACGUACUCGUCGUCAACUGCAGCGCCUUCAGCCCCACGCCGUCAUUCGUCGACAUGGUCGUUAACAAGUACAAGCUGCGAGACGACAUCCGCGGCGUGCACCUGUCCGGGAUGGGGUGCGGCGCCGGGCUGAUAUCGGUGGAGCUUGCGAGGAGCCUCCUGCGGGUGGCGCCCCGAGGCGCACGAGCGUUGGUCGUGUCCACGGAGACCCUGUCGCCCCUCCUCUACCUCGGGAACGAGCGGCCCAUGCUGCUGCCGUAUUGCUUGUUCCGCAUGGGCGGAGCGGCGGCGCUGAUGUCCACGUCCGCCGCCGAUGCCCGAUUCCGGCUCACGACCGCCGUGCGUACGACCACCGCUGCCGAUGACAAGUCAUACCGGUCCAUAUAUCAGGAGGAGGACGGCAAGGGGAACAAGGGCGCCGGCCUCUCCAUGGACCUGAUAGCCGUCGCCGGCCGCGCCCUGAAAGCCAACAUCACCGCCAUGGCACCCAUCGUCCUCCCAAUCUCCGAGCAGCUUCUGUUUGCGAUGUCUUUCAUGGCACAAAAAAUUUCUAGCGGGCGUGUGAAGUCGUUGUACGUCCCCAACUUCCUGACGGCCUUCGAGCAUUUCUGCAUACACGCCGGCGGGUCUGCGGUUGUCGACGAGGUCCAGCGCAGCCUCGGCCUGUCGGACGAGCACGUCGAGCCGUCGCGGAUGACGCUGCACCGCUUCGGGAACGUGUCCAGCAGCUCGGUUUGGUAUGAGCUAGCAUAUGUCGAGGCCAAGGGCCGUAUGCGUAAGGGUGAUCGAGUAUGGAUGAUCGGGUUUGGCUCUGGCUUCAAAUGCAACAGCGCGGUGUGGGAGUGCAUCGUCCCGGCCCCCAAUAGCGAUGGACCAUGGGCUGGUUGCAUCCACCGCUAUCCAGUGCAGAUUAAGUCCCCAAAAGCAAGGCCGCGGCAAUGAGUAGUGGAGACACUGGUAAAUUGGAUAUGUGUGUAUGAUUGAAUUCAUGUUUCAACAAACUCAUCCAAAAAUUUGAACUGAUAGAGACAGACGGAUAAUAUAUUUUAACAUGUGUGUGUGUUGUAAAAAACGGUGACUUGUCUGUGUUGUCAUUUUUGUUUCAUUUUGAGGUUUUACAUAUAAAGUUGAGUGAAUGCCUUUCUCCAAAAGGUAGUGAAUACACUUGAAACAGGCACUCAAAAGGCAAAACUAUCGUUUGCUUAUACUUCCUACGUCCGAAAAUUCUUGUCUUAAAUUUGUCUAAAAACGAAUGUAUCUAAAUACUAAACCGUAGCUAGAUACAUUCAUAUUUAGAUAAAUGUAAGACAAGAAUUUUGAGACAGAUGGAGUAAUAAAGUAAAUUUACUAUUUGAAGAAAAGGAGAAGUCUAUAUUUAAUCUGUCAACUAAUCAAGGUGUGCGGUUUCAUUCUCCAACUUAAAAAACAUGCAUGUUCUUUUUGUGGGACAGAAAAACAUGUUGUACCUUAAAUGUUUUAAACCGAACAAGUUUGGUCCUCCGACUCGUUCAAAACAUUUUACGGUACGCAGAGUGGUUGUUAUGGUAAAAGAAUUCUCAUGGAUCACUCCUUUAUCGAGAUUACGCGCCUAAAUUUUCUAAAACAUUCUUAAUAAGUCAUGCAUGUAGCCCGUGAUAUAAUAGCGAAUGAACUUGAGCAUUUCCAUUCAAAUAAAAAUAUGGUCAUUUUUCUUUGUUUCUUAAUUUUCAAGCCCGGAAUAUCAGUAUUCUUUUAGGGAAUUUUCGCAUACAGCCCAUUCAUGAAUUCCUUUCAAUCAGAUGAUAAGGAUGUGCGCCCGUUCCACACAGUAUGGCCGACAAGUAAUACGACGUACUAUGAUCGGAGGAAAUUUUGAAGGAGCACAAUGCAUAGCAUUAACAUGCACUACAUUCGCGAGCUCCUUUCAACUACUCCCUCCGUUCUUAAAUAAUUAUAGUACCCAACUACAAUUAUUUAAGAAUAGAAGGAGUAAUUCUGUAAUAGCUUAGCUCGGACAAAGUGGUGGAACCAUCAAACAUUCUAUAAAAAAAAAAAAAAAUUUACUUUUGAAAAAGGAGGUUAAACCUCCGGCCUCUGCAUCAAUCGAUGCAUGCAGCCAUCUUUAUUAAUUAUUUCACAAAGGUCUAACAAGAGUAUACAUCAAUCCAUCCAAAGCCACCACUCACACCUACAAACUCGAUAAUGUGGAAUGCUCUCACUCCACAUAUUUAAGACCGGUAUUGUUUUCAAACCAUCCACAUAACGUAUCGGGAACAACAGCCGGUGCAGCACACCUAAAACGCACACCUCACGCACACGUUUUACCAGCCGCCAUCAUCAUCGAACCACUGACCCAUCUUCAGGAAAGAGAUCCGCAUCAUCCUUGCCAGUCCAAGCAUCCGUCGAGCCACCACGGCGCCCAACGACGCCACCACCCUGAGCUCAUCCGUCCAGAUGAGAAGACUCCGGGAGAUCUGUCGUGCGUAGCACCUGCCAACCAGGCAUGACUCAGCGUAGCACCUGUCGGCCAGGCAUGACUUGACAGCUCCACCAAAAUUCCAUGCAAGACGAAGCCGCUCCACCUCCUACCUCAGUCUGUCAGCGCUGCUCCACAAACGAUGCUCCCAAGAGAGAAACGGCACCACAGUACCGCCAUCGUCCGAUCUGGAAGACCAGAUCCUAGGGUUUCCCCCGAAGCAGUGCCCACCACCAGUAACCGUUCAGGACCCAUACAGUGCCCACCACCACUCAGCCCUUAGGGUUUUCACCCGAGAGGCAAGGAAGUGGAGCAGAGGAGCAGAUGUAUACCGACGUCUCUAAAAAGAAUAACGGCGCCCUUGAGCGUCGUCGUCGGCGCGGUCGGCCUGGGCCAACCAAGGGGUUUCCCUCAAUCCGAAUCUCCUCCAUCGGCUUCACCCGCAGGUAAGGCCCCGGCAACCACGCCGGCACCGCCAAGCAUCCGCAGGAGAGAGGCCCACAGAAUCAGGACCUAGGGCGCAGGUGGCGGUGCGGGCAGCGACCGACGAAGGGGAACAAUACACCUCCACAACGACGCUUUCAAGAAAGAUAGCGGCACCCGCGGGCGUCGCCGUCGCGGCUCCGAUGAAGAUCGGAGCAAGGAUUUCUCCCGGAGCUGCGCUGGUUAUCCACCGCCACCGACCGCUGAGCAUGGCCGCCACGCACCAUCACAACCCCCAGCCAGGGUCACGGCACCGCGCGCCCUGGACACUGCUCGUGCCCAGCCGACCAGCGCAGCCGCGCCCGGCCGCCGCUCCCUGCCACCAUGGGCGCGUGCCCCCCAAGAUCCGGCCAUGGAGCCCCGGAUCCGCCCUCCGGCGCCGCCAAUUGGCAAGAUCAGAUCCCGCAACCGCCGACGCGGGGUGUCGCCGCCAGAGCCGGCCAUCCCCGGGGCGCACGCGGCUUCGCCGGCGUCCCCUCCGGCAGCAGCGAAGCGGGAGGGUGGGGCGGAGAGGGGGGCCGGUGGCGGCGCAGGAGGUCGCCCCCGAGUCGCCAGAGGAGACGACGCGGGGGGUUCUGCACUACAGUUAUCAAACAUUCUACAAUAGAAGAUGCUUAGAAAAGCAAAUUGGUUUUACUUAAACACCAAUGUUUAAUUAUUUGUAGAGGGUAUACACAUAAUUAGACACUCCUUCUACAGAGAUAAGCACUGGUGUAUGAGAAAAAAUCAUUUAUUUUACUCCCUCAGUCCUAAAAUAAGUGUCUUAAGCUUAGUAUAACUUUAUACUAGAGCUAGUAUAAAGUUGAGACGGUUAUUUUCGGACAGAGGGAGUACUAAACACCUUCCCUGAACACCUUGCAUUGUACAAUGCUUUAAUAUGUUUGGUUUUUGCCGUGUAGUGUACUGUAUCUUUUAGAGGAUAGUUGGAGCUCCGUGGCACAAGAGCAGUUAUAUCUUCUCAAAGGGCUCUUUCGUAUUUUCGUUCUAAUCAUACUGGCAUCAUGAUAAUCUGAACGAGUGCUCGGUCCAAUGCCAUGCAUGUGAAAAACAUGGUAUACCAUUGAAAAUCAUAUGCUCGGUAGUCGUGUGCAAACAUUUUGUAGCACAGUUUCUCAUAGUUGGGAAGAUAACCGGCAUGCAACUAUUGAGAAUUUAUUCGGUGACGUUAAUUACGUAUUUCUUCGAUUCCAUGAAGCCGCACUUAGGUUUCUUUCUGAAUGCAACAAAAAGCAACUCUAGCAGACCAUGCAUCCCGUCGGCCUGCAAAAUCAUUUUUGCGGGCUGGCAUAGAUGCAGACCCCCCAAACGGAUCCGUAAAAAAGCAUAUUCNNNNNNNNNNNNNNNNNNNNNNNNNNNNNNNNNNNNNNNNNNNNNNNNNNNNNNNNNNNNNNNNNNNNNNNNNNNNNNNNNNNNNNNNNNNNNNNNNNNNNNNNNNNNNNNNNNNNNNNNNNNNNNNNNNNNNNNNNNNNNNNNNNNNNNNNNNNNNNNNNNNNNNNNNNNNNNNNNNNNNNNNNNNNNNNNNNNNNNGAAUAUGCUUUUUUACGGGUCGGCUUCUGCGGGUUCUGUUCGGGCUCCACCGCGACGAUCCGUAAACAGAAAAACUGCAAAUCUCGCAUCUGACAUAGGGUUUGGCAAACAAGUUCAAAUUUAAACGAAAUAAACAGUUUGCGAGCAAAUAAAAGCGAAGUUCAUUACGUAAAAGAGGGCAUGCAAAGGUUUGCGCCCAUGUCCGGCAUCAUCUUGGGGGGUCGAUCUUCACUCCGCGCCAUGAAGUUCAUAUUGAAGUUCAUCGGCGCCACCGAAUCCACCUCCGUCGCUUGUUCCAACUUCCGCACCGAAAUCAUCCACAUUGGCACCAUAUGGAGCAGAGAAAACAUCACCGGAACUGGAACACGGACCGGUCAAGGCGACCAUUCUCCUCUUCAAGAUCUCUCUCCUUGCCAUAUCAUGCCAUGUUUUGGUGAGGUCGUCCAUGUCAUUGGGUUCAUUGACAUGAUCUUGUUCUCUUCGGCGAGCAACAAUGACAUCGAUUUGGUUUCAGAGGCGCGUGCUUUUCUCUCCUCAAUGGCAUCUUUGCGGAGCCCCUCUUUCUUGGGGUCUUCCAUGAACUCGGUUGUUGCAUUGUUCGAACCACCACUAUAGCGAACGAUAACAAGUCACGAGCUAUCAAGACUAAUGGCGAAAAAUGAAAAGGAAUCGCCAAGACCGAAGAGGCAUACCUUCCGGCCAUUUCGUCGAACACCUCAGUCGCGGGGGGAGCGGCAUCGUUCAACGGCAUCGUCGGAGCACCUCCUUGCUGGGGGGGGUGAAGUCAAAGGUUGAAUAAGGUGGCUUCCUUGAAGCCGGAACCUUCCUCCACUUUACGCCCGCGGCCUUGCCGGCCUUCUGCGUUGCCGGCCGGGAUCGCACUGCGGCGUUGGCGCCCGGAGCGCGGGCCGUCGCGGCGAGGGCAGCCGGAUUCCCGCCCUGCAAGACCACGGUGCCCUGCCUCUUUCAGGAAGGCGUGGCGUGUGCUUGGGCGACGGCGGUGGGGGCAACAUGGCCAACAACGAGAUCCGCCCGAGGAGAAGGAGCAUGCGCGACCUCGACGGUGACGGGGGAUAGCAUGGGGUCCUUCAUGGCGGCGAGGAACGGACGGCGGGGAGGAGGAACUGGAGCUUGCGGAGGGGGGCAAUGAUGGCGGAGGGUGCGGGGAGCGGGAAAAGGGCUCGCGGAAAUGUCCCUCCCGCCAAGUCUCGCGCCGGAUAGGGGUUCAGCUCGGGUCGGCCUCCCAGCCCGUGAAGAUCAAGGUUGGAGGAGAAGAUUUGCCGCGCCCCGCAAAAAAAAUUGCGGGCCGGCGCGGGAUGCGGGGUCUGUUCGUGCGGAUUUUCCGGCCCCGACCCGCAAUUUGACGGUUAUUUUGCAGACCGGGGCGGGAUGCGGGGUCUGCUAGAGUUGCUCUAAGGAGGGGUCUAUGUUGGCCAAUGGCCAGGGGACUGAAACUUGUUAUUUUCUUCUCGGACUAAAACCAAUCUAUACCUUUUUCUAACACAAUAUGGACACAAGCAUUCAUAUACACGUGUAUACACUCAUCCCUAUGAACGCACAUACGUACAUGUUAUCCCUAUAAACACCUCCAAGAGACUGAACCGGUAUAUCAUCUUGAGAUUUAUGAAGUCACCGUAGGCGCUUCAUCGUCGACGAAAACGUCUUCUCCCACUGAAUGUGUAUCGCCGGAAAUCAUGAAAUAAAUCCAGGAAUAAUGCAAGCAUCAAUACUUAAACCCUGAUAGGAUGGAAUACCACUAGCCCUCUAACCAGUCAACCACAGGUUGGUUUGCAAAACCAAUCUAUACCUAUUCAUGAAAUAAAUAGGUAUUUUUAGUCCAUCGUGCUAUUUUGUAGAAAACCCUCUGAUGUUUCUAACAUUAAACCCGCAAUACAUAUCAAAUAUUUUUUUAAAUACUCAUAUCUUCUAAACCGUAACCCCAAAUUUAACAUGGUAUAUAUGAAAAUUGAUUAGAAAAUUAUAUAAAAUCUGAUUAUGACGUUAUUUUGCCUUUUAACCAUUUAAAAAAUACUAUCAAGGGUGCAAUCGUAAUCAAUAAUGCAUUAUCCGUCUUUCUUUCAUACCGGUACUGAUUCGGAUUGGGGAUCAACACCUCAGCAAAAUCAUGAUUGCAGACGAAAUUGAAGAUAAAUUUGAUAGAAACACCCAAUAAAUAAGGACAUGCAUGACAACAAAUAAAAGGACCCAAUAAAGAUGAGAUGUCCACUAUAAAAUAAAUAAAAGGGAAAAUGUAGAGGAGAUUUGAUAAAGAUGAGAUGUUGCGCUAUUUCUCCUAUAUGUAAGAAGAAAAAAGAGAGGGCAUGCAUGAAAAAAAAGUAAAAAUGAGGCAUGCAUGACAAAAAAAUUAAAUAAAAGACAUGAUUGAUAAGAUAUAAAUAGUGAUGAAAGAGGGACCAAUACAUAUGACAUGUAUGACAAGAAAUAGGGACUAAAUAGGAGCGCAAGUACCUGCGUCCACAGACCAUACAAAAUUGUUCUUAUUUAGACAAAAAUAUCUCUCAUUAUAAUUAGAAAAUCAUGUAUACUUUUAACUACUCUUCAUGUAUUUAAGAAAUAUGCAUGUGAAAAUAAGUGUUCAAGAGUUACAACAAAAAUAUUUGCAUAUGCAUAUUAAAUAUAUGUGUAGUUUUCAAAACAGAUGAAAUCAGAGGUGUAGACCAUAUCAAAUGUAGCAUUCUAUUGUGAUAGUUGGGCUCGAGGACAAAAAAUUACGACACUAAUAUCUUCUUUUAGACAGGUUGUAAACAACAAGCCAAGAGACUCUCUAGCAAAGGGGGGAUAAAUUAUCAAAAAGAAGAUGUUGACGAACCAAACUAGGUGAGCAUAGAGGAGGCAUGAGGAGUUCUAGACUGAAGCGAUGAUGAGCACGGGACGGCGGCUCGAGGAUAAGCUUGUGGUCAUGGAUUGAAGCCAGGAGCUGGAAUGAUGUUGAACAUGCCCUAAGUUAGUGAUGCUUAAACUGGAAACCGUCCUUGAUGCAUACAUGUCUCUGUAGUGUGCUAACGUGCCAUCGUCUGUUGUUGUCGUUUUCUUUACCGGCCUGUAACAAUACCUCAUUUCGCAGAUGACAUGAAUAAAUGCAUGAUCCCUUAAAUGUUUCUUUGUACGUAUUAAAUCUACAUGCAAGCCAUGUUGAAAUAGAAGACCCGUGGAAUCUUGAACUGCGAUUUUAGGCUAAGACCAUCUUUGUCUGGGCUAUAGCUACAAAUUCUCAUAUUAUAGAUCAUUUUUAUUAAGAGUGUGUAGUAUUCUUUUCUUCCGUUGCAACGCAUGUGUCCUUUUGCUAGUACAGACUAAUGCCCCGCUUCAAAUCGUUGUGUAUUCAUACAUCCGUAUAUAAUUUACAGGUGCAAAUUACCGGCUACACGCGAUUUUCAGCUAGCAAAGAAAACGAUGGAGGGAGGCGUGUAUAUUUUACAAGGGUUUAGCGUUGAGAACCGAAAAUCCAAUCAGCGCCUAAAGCAAAGUGAAAUGGUUACUAGCCAAGACACGCCGAUCUUGAUGCAGUCGACGGCGCCUUCUGCCCAGUGCAGCCAUCCAUGGAGGAUUAUGAUCGCCUUCUGCCCAGUGCAGCCAUCCAUGGAGGAUAUGAUCGUGAGCAGGUAGAUGCAAGAUUAUCGUGAAUUAUGUAACCAAGAUAAGGGAUUUGAAAGUUGGUAUACCCACAUUUUCUUUAGAUAGCUUACCACCUAUGCCAAGUGGUACGAUACCCACACAUUUAGUACUUGAAAGCAACGUUCCAGAAGCAAGAUGCAGAUCAAAAUAUGGAAGCAUUUAUUGUUGGUUAGAAUGAACCAGCACAUGUAGAUUGUUACUAUCAGUGUCAAAAAAGUCUUAGAUUUUAAUACAGAGGGAAUGGUAUUUUAUUUCAGAACAAGAUUGCUAUUUCUCGAAUGUAGUUUUGACCUGCAAACAUCCAUCAUCCGAUACUGAAUAACCCUUCCAGAAACUUUCCUUGUACGUAGCAGUUCACAGCAAGCCUAGCCGCAGAAUAAAAUUUCAGAGAUCGCAUCAGAAAAAAAGAAGGAACUACUUUAAAUCACAUGACGCUACAGCACUCUUAUUACACUGCUUCGAAGCACAGUAUACCUCAUUCGCAGAAUACAAGUCAUGGAUGAAACUACAUACACAUUACAUUACGGUGACAGUUGACACCACCAACCUUGGGGGCAUUAUUUACUUACUAUAGUCCUAUUUCUGCAUAGAUCCAUGCUACUUACGAUAUAUAUAGGACCAUCGUUCGUUUCUUGAUGUACGAGGGGGUUUUCUCGAUGUAAGAGGGGGUGGUUUUCGGCUUAGACAAGCUGGACUACUGCAGCGAUUCUCAGGGCUCCACCCUGGAGAAGAUCAGCAAGCUCAUCGAACAGUAUAGCCGUGCGCCAGCCCCACCCUUUUGGAGCCUUGGGCAGAAGGGUGCCAGCCUGCUUCAGGCUUCCAAAUAUCAUCACCUCUCUCUUCGAUGGACAGAUGAGCUAAUGCCGAAAGACAGGUAGCAAAUUAUACCAUGUACAGUAUCAGUGGAUAAUUUUGGAGGAAAGAAAAACUGAGGUAGAUACCUGAUACCGAGCAGUGACCUUUUCCCGGGGGUCUAUGUACAUGUGGGCCUGAGAAAGAAGUGCAUCAGUGACAUUGUUAUCUUGCGAUAAAUGAAUCAACCCAUUAAGUUACUCACCUUCCUCAAGGGGUCUAACAAUUCAGCUUUGCGUCUGUGGAGAAAAAGCCCUGCAUUGUCGAUUUGUAAAAUGCUAACAUGUCUUUCGGCAAACAACAAAGAUGACUGGCAAACAUUACAGAAUCAGAUAAAAAAUAUGUUACCAAGGGUGCGCCGCCCAUGAGGAUCCUCAUCAUUGAAUGCCUGGACACUUACCUGCAAACGACCAUGUUUAUUACCAAACUUGAUUUAGGCUGUCAGAAGCAUGGAUAGGUAGAAGACCAGAAAGUAAUAAACCUUCCAUAGCGAGCCCGCAUAAAAUACUUCAGCUGAGUGUUUCACUUGACCAUCUGCAAGCCUAUGCACAUCUUCAAACUCAACCCUGUGUUUACGUAUAGACUUGUCAGAGCUUAAUAUAAACAUGAUAUUAGUGUGUGCACCAAGUUCUAAGUUAAUGAGAUCUGUAGGGAAUAAAGAAAUUGACAUCAGAAGUUUUGAGCAUGUCUUGGUUGGCUUAGACCAAUUAGAAAUUAGAAGCUGUUUCUUCUGCCUGCCUUUGGUGAAGGCAUUAAUAUCCAACAGGAAUACUCAGAUUGCUUGAAGCAGAUGAUAGUCGGGUUAUUUUUUUCAGGAACUAUGUCCAAAGAGGUGGUGUGUUUUGUAAGAGCAAAGGCAGGAUAAAUAGGGAUCUUACCCAAAGCGGAAAGGAGGGAAAUGACUAAGUGGUGUUCUCAUGUCCAACGAUAUAGCUGUGUUAUCUGCACUUUCCCAACUAAGUUCAUGCUCUUUUGACUCUUGCAUCUGGGGAGAAGAACCACCUGGUGUAGAAACAGUAGCAGCACCAGAAUAUCUAGUUUGCAUGCCUGCCUCAAAAAUACUUUCUGCCUGAUGAUGAGAGGCAUUGCUUUCUUGGCUAAGAUUAACCAAUGCAGUCAGACCAUCUCCUGGAAUAUCUCCAUUGUGGUCAACUCUAGGUUCUGAUUCAUCAUUGGCAAAUGAUUGCUGGCCAUUCCUUGAACCAAGCCCAUAGGGAACACGAGAGAAGACAUAACGCGUUGGAGCCCAAGCAGCACCAGGCACAUUUGAGUUUCCUCUCCCAAUGCCAGCAAGUCCAUCAACUGCUCCUCUUACGUUAACACGCACAGGACUAAACAUACCAUUCGCAUCGCCUUGGGCAUCUGCAAGGUAGAUACUACCUGCAGUUCCUGAAGCACUUGUCCUAUCAUGCUCCUGCCUGUAGUGGCUGUGUGUACUCACAUAUGCUUGUUUACAAGCACAAGAAUUACUUGUAAGGCAACAGUUUCUGCAUGUAUCAGCAACUAUUGCUUGCACUCUGUGGCACAGGAGCAUCUGCAUUAACAGAUCAGCAAACUUUCAGAGAUGGUCUUAGAGAGAACAAAGUAUUGAGAGAGAGAGAGAGAGANNNNNNNNNNNNNNNNNNNNNNNNNNNNNNNNNNNNNNNNNNNNNNNNNNNNNNNNNNNNNNNNNNNNNNNNNNNNNNNNNNNNNNNNNNNNNNNNNNNNNNNNNNNNNNNNNNNNNNNNNNNNNNNNNNNNNNNNNNNNNNNNNNNNNNNNNNNNNNNNNNNNNNNNNNNNNNNNNNNNNNNNNNNNNNNNGGGGGGGGGGGGUAGAGUAAAACCUGGAGCCAAAGACCAUCGUUUACAGCUUUGCAAGGAAAUUCAAACUCUUCAAGUUGCUUUCGAACACUUAACAGUGCAUCAAAUGACAUAUUGCAAUAGAGAAGAGAACCCCUUUCAAAUAUAUUCAUGAAAGUAUUAUAUUCAUCAGCAGACAAAGAAGAACUUCCCCUACUGCACCUAACCUGCCGUCGACCAACAACCCUACCACCCCAAGGAGGUGCAGUGGGUCUUCCCCACUCACAUGGUACUAAUCCAUUACUUGAAGAAGUUCUUGAAAAGUAAUUUUUUGUUUGCUCCCUAGAAAGCCACAUAUUUUCGUUAAAUUGAUAAGAGGGGCUUUCUGCAGAUGGUCCUCCUGUAGAAAUAUCAUUCUCCAUCCUCUUGGAAGCUUCAGCAUUCUGAAUGAUCAGAACAAACAAUACAAUCUUAGUGUACUUAUCAAGUUUCUGGUAAAGUGAUUUGUUUAAUGAAAGAAGAGAAGUUCAUAGCAUGUUGAAAACAAGCCAACAUGAUCUUCUUACUGGUGGAAUGGAGUACGGUGUGCUAUCCUGCGGAUUUACAACAUUUGGAACAUCAAUAAUGUUAUUGGCAGCUUUACUCGCCAUGUUAUCAUGCAACUUCAACUUCUGCAGUUCAGAUUCCAUUAGCUGCUCCUCACCAGUUUCAUUCAUCGGAGUCUUUCCCUUUCCCAUGGAACAAUCAACAGUUGAUGCGCUUGUCAUAAGGUCCAAAUUUUCAUUUCCACUAACUUCUACAUCAGAAACAGUCACCUUUGCCAGUAGAGCAAAUAAUGCUAGUUCAAACCUUCAAGUUGCAAGAACGGUUGUCAUAAUUGGGCUUCAAAUUAUAAUGCCACCAGUAGACAACACAUACAUACCGUUUCUCCUCAUUAGGUACCCACAGUUCGUCCGAUGUAAGGAGAGAAUGUAAAGUUUGUGAAGAAAGUUUUGGAAGCACCUUUCAGCAAAAUGCAAAACAGGUAUCAAACCUCUGCCUAAAAGGGAAUGUAGAUUGAAAUACACCCAAGUACAAAUCAUAUGUGUCAUAAUUCAGCAUUCAUGUUGCAGUGACAGCAAAGUAAAAGCUAAAUAAAGUCAAACAGUUCAACAUCCAAAAGUUUUCUAUGCAUUUCUGGUACAGCAGAGUUGCAUUUGUUCUGCAACCUGUAUUCUUUCUUUAACGAAGGAAAAUGGUAAUGAAAGCCAUAAAAUGUAGGAGGUCAGAUUGAACAUUCACUUCCAAACUAGUGAGCUAGGCUCAAUAUCUGUUCAGUAGAACAAUAUUAUAGUCUUAACAUUAAAAUAAUUAACACCAAGAAUACACAAGCAAAACAUUGCUGAAAUUGUAACCAUGGAUAAUAAGUUCCAAAUUGUGAAGUAGUUGAGCUUUAUGGAGAAUAUCUAACACAGAUCAAAUAACACUAUACUAAAAUUAAAGGUACAAUAAACAGCUCCCUCUGUUCAGAAAUGCAGGUUGACCUAGGGUUCAUGCAGUCAAAUUUUAAUACCUUUGACCACUAAUUUGUGCGAAAAUACAUAAAUUGACAAUAUGGAGGAAAAAACAUUGGGUUUGUCUUGAGAAAUAAUAAUUAUUUUAUAAUACUUUAUUCAUAAAGAGCAUACUGAAAGCCGGCAGUAACCAAGUUUCCUACUUGAGAACAAUAUUUGGCAAGUGUAGCUUUUUAGCCAGCAAGAUCCCCAUGAGUGCUCCUUAGUCCUUACCUCUCGUAGUUCCAGUGUGGCACUUUGACAAAGAUAACCCCAGCACGCAUUUCUGACACGCUCUCCAUGACUACCAUAGUCUUGGCUUUCGGCAAACAACUAAAAACAAUAAGAUAAAAAUAAGGCCAUAAAUAAAGAAGGGAAAAGUAAUGUCACUGACAAAGAACACCAUGUGUAUAUAUCAAUAUAUGUCGCAAAGAUAAGCUGAUGGACUAACCUGAUAUUGUAAAAAGUUUGAUGUCCAAAGCUCAGAAAUAAUAAAAUCUGUACAGAUUGUACACAAGCCCUGCAAUAGUCCAUUUGUAAGUACAAGACAAUAGCAAACAGUUGCGGACAGUAAGAACUCACGCAAAUAGAAGAAACCUGAAGAUCCAGAAAUGAUGCAGCAGCUAGUACACGAAACGCGUUGUUAUCAUUGAGCUUGGGGGGUUGCCCAUAAAGAUAUGCCAACGCAAUUGCAAUUGCCUCUGAAUCAAUAUUAGAAUCGUCUAUAUGCAAGACCACUGUAGGUGCUCCAGCUUCUCUCCAAGGACCAUGCAACAUAUUCCUGGCAGUUUUUUUUCAAAGAGCCUGCUUGUCAGUUUCAGAAACUGGCACGGUAUUAAUCUGGACAAAAUUGUCUGUUAGUCGUAAGAAAAGAUAAUAAUCUAGCGAAAUGAAGAGGUUUGGUUGCAUAAGAAGGUUCCUUUCUAUGUUGAAGGUUUAUAUAGGAGAUAUAGGCACUGAAAGGUACUUUGCAUUGAGGAGUUCUAUCAGACUCUGUUGAUUACUUCCGCGGGUGCAAAAUGCAAGGGGCCCACACAUUCCCUGGUUUAAGUUUGACCAACCAUUGGAAUAAUGAAAUGUGAUGUGACAUAGAAGGGAUAUCACUCGAAAAUGCUUUUGAUUAUGAAUCCAAAGUAGUGUUUGUGUCACAUGACCAAUAUUUGAUUUUAUUUGCAUAAUCGUUGGUCAAAUGUCAACCUUAGGAUGUGUGGGUGUCUUAAUUUUGCGACAGAACACAAACUAGCCAUCAGGCUUCCAUUUCGCUUCGUAUAUGAUAAAGGUUUAUGAAAGAGGGCUGACUUGAUUCAUUUGGAAACGGAAAGGUGAGAUCUAACUUCCUUUUUUUGGGAAAAAACAGAAGAAAAAAAAACUGCCCUGUCUGGCUCCAAUCAGCAACUGAAUUGGUCCGUACACAUGCAAUUCCGCUCAAUUCAUUCUAUUAAACAUUCUCGACACGGGUCAUAGCACAAGAGAUUUCCACUUCAAAGGGAAUCGAAUCGUCCCCGCCGCGCGGCCCAACAGAAAUGAAUUUCUACUCUACGAAACAAUCCUAUAUACUCAAUCUCGGCAGCAGCGCAAACUACGACGGGAACCGGGCCCGGGGUCCACGCAUCCGCAUUGGAGGAGGAGGCUGACCUGAAGUAGGUGCUGCGGGAGAUGAUGAGGCGGUGGAGGCGGUAGGUGGCGCCCAUGGCCUCGACGACGACAUCGGAGAAGGCGCCGGAGCCGAAUCCCUCGGCCUGCACGUGGUCGCAGAGCGCCGCGAGGUUGCAGUCCACGGGGCGGAGCUCCGCCGCCGCGACCGCCAGCUCGUACGGCCGCGGCGCCCCCGCCGGCGCGGCCAGGGGCGCCGCNCGGCUGCUGCGGCGCCGCCGACAUGGCCCCCGGGGGCCUAGGGUUUUAGUUGGAGGAGUGUCGGUGCGAUGGGGGCGGGGAAUGGGGGUGGGGGACAGAAGACGGGGUCGAUCGGGAGGAGGAAGAAAGCGUGCUCGAGGGUAACUGUUUUUUUUUCCUUUAUUACUGUCGAUGUAGACUUUGUGUUUUCAUUUCGAAUAUGCUAUUUAUGCAGCGGCAAAAUAAAAUGUUUUUAGUACUAUAUAAUACUCUCUCUAUAAACAAAUAUACGCUUUUAUAUUUGUUUACAGAGGAAGUACAAGCGUAGACGCUCCUACAUAUGUAUAUUAGGACUUGAAAGAAUGAUGGACAGGACUACACAGCGGCGCCUCGCCUAUGUCUUCCGGUACAGCGACUCUACCACGUCUGCUAAUUGCCACGAAAAGUAGCCACAUGCAUGAACAUAAAUUUUAUGCAUGCAUUCAUUGUAAGAAAUACAAAAAGAACAACAUGCAAUGGCAGGCUGGCAGCGCAAGAAAAAAGCAUACAACGCAACAAUUCUCUUUGAUGUUUGAAAUUUAAAAAGUUUUAUCUAUAAAACCGUUAAGUCAAUCGACGAUCUGUUUUCACCAUUGACUUUCUCGCGACGAGUUCUUCAAAACUAGAUCCCAUGUCGACAUGUUCUGACAAUUAUUUUUUUCGGUUCAUACUUGCCACAUUUUUUGACCUCACUUGUCAUAUUAUUAACCGCUUGCUUGUGUGAGAAAAAUAACUUGAUUGCCACUUUUUAAUAUUGUUUCGUAUAAAGCCUUAUAGCAGUUUCUAUUAUGCAUGAUAUAAAAAAGCAUGUAAUAAGUUGUGUUUGUCAAUUUAAAGAUGCUAACUUGUCGUAUUUACAUACAACUUUGACAGAAAACUAUUUUGUGUGCUUGUUAGUUUAACAAUGCGGAGUUGACAUAUUACAAACGAUGACCAAAAAAGAUUUCUUAUGGUCAUGGUUUUAAAUAUGUUGUAUGUAAAUCCCCGCCGUAAGUCCACCCCGUGCCGGCGGCCGGCGAGAACCUGCAGAUACCCUCGCACCCAUUGCCUACCACCUCGCGCCUCGCGUCCCUCGCAUCCCAUCGCCUCCCACCUCGCACCUUCCGUUCCGCCUCCCCCUCGCCAUAGCAGUGUUCCCCCGCGUCUUCCGAUCUACAUGCGAUAACGAUGGCUACUUCACCUUCCGUUGGUGCUUUUGGCAACUCCCAAGGGAACGAUGACGACCUUGGUGAUUUCUUCGAGAAACUUGACCUCCACGAAGAUGAGUUCGAUGAUGUCGUCGUGGAGGAGGAAGCCCAUGAACUUCUGGAGGAAAUCCGCUGGAUUGCCCUCGCUAGGGUUCAUACCCCCAAGCUGUUCAGCCAAACCGCGUUCUACAAGGAUAUGCGAGCAGCUUGGAACUGCUCGCAGCAGGUCCGGUUCCGUCCCAUCGGACCAAAUCUCUUCGUGGUGCAGGUGUAUUGUUUGGGCGACUGGGAUCGCAUCAUGCAACAAGGGCCUUGGCUCUUCCGCAACAUGGCUGUUAUGAUUGCAUCAUACGACGAAUUUACACGGGCAGAGAACGUUCCAAUGUUCAACAUGCCCAUAUGGCUGCAAAUUCACAAAUUGCCGGAUGGCUAUUGCCGGCAUGAUCUGAUUGUCAAACUACUGCGAUCGGCUGGAGAGGUUCUGGAAACUCGGAUCAAUGGGAAUUCACGAGGUGACUACGUGCGAGUAAGAAUCAACCAUGACAUCAGGAAGCCAUUAACUAAAUUUGUGAGCAUUGUCAAGGACAAGAUGCGCCACAUAUUUGUUGUCCGAUGCGAGAAACUUGCAAGAUUCUGUAGUGCAUGUGGAGUAAUAGGUCACGAGCAUAAGAAAUGUGGUGAUGGGGUUUUUGCAGAGAAGGAUAUAAAAUUUGGUGCCUACCUGUAUGCGGAUCAACCUGGUCGUGCCCGUUCGGAGAGGGUAUAUACACAUGAAAGCAAAAUCUCUCCAACUACUGUUGUGGCAACACAAGCAGCUAUGCCCCCUGGGACAGUUCAUGUACAAAAAAACCCUAGCCCUCCUCCGAUGGACCAAUUCGCCGAUAUGGACCUGGAUAAACUCUCUCGGAAGAGGUUGAUGAAUCCUAAGGCUGUUACCAUGCAAGAUGCUGUUGAGGAUAUUGCCGUAAGGGAUGGGAUCAUGUUGUUGACUGAUAAACCCUCGGACGCCCCUGAUGAAAGUAGUGUUGCUGGGUGUAGUAAACGAGCAAAGGUGGGUACUGACUCAAACUUGGCGGGCUCCGAAGAGGAGUGCCGCCCGUCCCAAUGAGUCACUUGUUCUGGAACUGUCGGGGGGGUGGGGAACCGCCGGACAGUUCGCGAAGUUAGGGCUCUUGUAAAAGCCCAUUCCCCGCGCUUGGUCUUUCUUGCGGAGGCGCGACAGCCAAGUGCAAAGGUUGAAACUCUGAGAUGGAAACUAGGACUAAAAGGUUUCUGCGGUGUCGAUUCUGAUGGCCGUGGCGGAGGUCUUGCGCUAUUAUGGGAUGAAUCACUAACAGUCACAGUACUUGAGUCAUGCAGCAGGUUUAUAGAUGUGGUGGUGCUAAAUCAAGGAGUGGGAACAACGUGGUGAUCUACCUUUGUGUAUGGUGAGCCCAGAGUUGAAAACCGUCAGCGUAUGUGGGAUCAUCUGGUGAGACUGAAAAACACAUCGGCCUUGCCAUGGGUAAUAUGUGGUGACUUUAACGAGGCUAUGUGGCAACACGAACACUUCUCCAACACUAGCAGAGCUGAGAACCAGAUGAUGGCAUUUAGGGAUGCUCUUCAACUCUGUGAAGUGGUGGACCUAGGCUUUAUGGGCGCGCCCUACACUUUCGACAAUGGCCAACUGGGACAGGUAAUGUCCGUGUCCGUCUAGACCGGCCAUGUGCCUGUGAUGACUGACGGGAACUUUUCCCUUAUGCUAGGGUGCAGCACCUUGUCUCCCCUAGAUCAGAUCAUUGCCCUAUAGUGAUGAUCCUAGAUUCAACAGAGGAUCGACGACGCAAGGGUACCCCAAAGUAUGAGAUUAUGUGGGAGCGUGACCACAAACUCCCGGAGCUUAUUUCACAAACACGGGCCAAGGUACGGUCUGGUGGAGAUCUGGGCAAUGUGUCCACCUCUCUAGGAUCGGUCAUGAGUGCCUUACGCCGAUGGAGCAAAGCAAACUUUGGGCAGGUGAAAAAACAGAUCGAGGCACUACGUAAAGAGCUUGAGAACUUGCAACUAGCUAAUGCUGACCGUCUCUUACUACGUAUGAAAAUGCAAAAACUUGAUGAACUCCUAUAUCGAGAAGAGAUGAUGUGGUUGCAACGGAGCAGAAUAUCAUGGUUGAAAGAAGGGGAUCGUAACACAAAAUACUUUCACCGUCAAGCUGUCUGGAGGGCAAGGAGAAACAAUAUUCGUAGACUACAAAAGGAGGAUGGUUCCUGGUGUCAUUCUCCUACAGAGAUGGAACGUAUGGUUGCGUCUUACUUCAAGGAAUUAUACACUAAGGACCCCACCCUAAAUCCGAACCCCGUUCUGGAUACCCUUGGUCAGAAAGUAUCACCUGAAACAAAUGAUCGGUUGUUAGCCCCGUUUACACAUCAGGAAAUUUCAGAUGCUCUCUUCCAGAUUGACCCCUUAAAAGCACCCGGUCCGGACGGUUUCCCGGCAAGGUUUUUCCAAAGGAAUUGGGGAUGUCUAAAAGAGGAUAUAGUGGCUGCAGUGCAUCAGUUUUUUGAGACUGGACAAAUGCCCUUGGGUGUCAAUGAUACUAGUAUUGUUCUUAUUCCAAAAGUCCAACACCCGGCCACCUUGAAAGAACUACGGCCUAUAUCCCUCUGCAACAUAAUCUACAAGGUGGUCUCUAAAUGUCUGGUGAACAGGUUGAGGCCGUGCUCGAAGGAUUUGAUCUCUGAAAACCAAAGUGCUUUCAUCCCAGGGAGAUUGAUUUCGGACAACUCCCUUAUUGCAUUCGAAUGCAUUCACCACAUCCAAACUAAUACUGGGAAUUCGGAGUUCUGUGCCUACAAACUUGAUCUAUCCAAAGCAUAUGACAGAGUGGACUGGGAUUAUUUGGAAGGAGCUCUAUUGAGAUGGGGUUUUGCCCCACGCUGGGUCUCUCUUAAUAUGGUUUGUGUCCAAUCAGUCAAGUUCUCUGUCAAGUUUAAUGGGCGAUUGCUGCAACAAUUCACUCCCACACGCGGUAUUCGUCAAGGUGACCCCCUAUCUCCCUUCUUGUUCCUUUUUGUGGCGGAUUCAUUGUCUUCAUUACUGCAUAAGGCUGUACAACAAGAUGGGCUGGAGGCGCUCCAAAUCUGCCGAAGAGCACCGCCUGUGUCACAUCUCCUUUUUGCGGAUGAUUCAUUGCUUUUCUUCCGAGCAAAUCUCGAGAAUGCAACAAUUGUCAAGGGUGUCUUGAACACUUAUGCCUCAGCGACGGGUCAACUUAUUAACCCUUCAAAGUGUUCCGUCCUUUUUCAUGACAACUGUGCUCCUCAAGUGGUUGAUGAGGUAAAGCUUGUCCUCCAAAUCACACAGCAAGCAUUUGAGCCAAAGUAUCUCGGCCUCCCUGUGCCGAAAGGUCGCAUGCAUAAGGGACGUUUUGAAUCUUUACAAGCUAGGGUAAGCAAAAGUCUAAUUGAAUGGAGUGAAUGGUAUUCCUCGUACUCGGGCAAGGAAGUGCUUAUUAAAGCAGUGGCGCAAGGUAUUCCAGUAUAUGUCAUGAGCAUCUUUAAACUCCCGGUGGCAGUGUGCGAUGAACUAUCAAGAAUAAUGGGACAAUUUUGGUGGGGUGUUGAGAAUGGAAAAAGGAAAAUGGCAUGGGUAGCUUGGGAUCGACUCUCUCUUCCAAAAUCCCGUGGUGGUCUGGGUUUUAGAGAUAUGCGGGCCUAUAAUCAAGCUCUCCUUGCAAAACAAGCAUGGCGGCUCAUCACCACUCCUGAUUCCUUAUGUGCUCGUCUUCUUAAAGCAAAAUACUACCCCAAUGGUAACCUAGUGGACACUGUCUUCCCUGCUAACUCUUCGGCAGUGUGGAAAGGUAUAGAACACGGACUCGCCCUUGUCAAAAAAGGUAUGUUAUGGAGGGUAGGAAACGGUGAACAUAUUCGGGUUUGGAGAGACCCUUGGAUUCCACGAGGGCCACCUUUCACGCCUAUUCUUCCGAAAAGAACAUGUCGGCUCACAAAGGUUAAGGACUUCCUCGAUGUUCAUGGGAAUUGGAAGACUGAACUGCUGCAACAAUUUUUCUGUCCAGUAGAUGUGGCAUCCAUCACAAAGAUCCGUACUUCGGUGUACCAAUUGGAUGAUUUUAUUGCUUGGCCAUGGGACAAAUCUAGAAAUUUUACGGUAAAAUCUGCUUACCACCUAGCUAUGACCACAUGUUGGAACCAGCUGAGUCCUGGUGCAACCUCCUCUGCUCCUACGGGUGACCGAUCUAUGUGGAAGCUAAUUUGGAAAAUCGCAGCUCCCCCAAAGCUGCGACACUUCGCGUGGCAGGUGAUCUCUGGUUCCCUUCCUUCUUCGGCAGAGAUGCACAGGCGCCAUAUGACUACCCAAUCUACAUGCCUCUUAUGUGACCGCGAUGUGGAAUCAUCAUUUCAUGCUCUCCUGGUUUGCCCGCAUGCGGCUACCCUGUGGGACGCAAUGCAGACAAUGUGGCCUUUACCUCCUCGUACGGACAUCAAAUGCACUGGCAAGGAGUGGUUGUUCCACUUCCUACUGGAGGUCCCGGAGUCUAUUCAUAGCAGGAUCAUCAUGGUCUUAUGGAGGAUAUGGUACUUGAGGAAUGAAGUUGUUCAUGGCAAAACGGUACCCCCCCCCCCUUGAUAUAUCCUGUUCUUUCCUGGCUAGCUACUAUAACUCCUACAAGAACAUAUCAUUAAGUGUGGAAGAUACGGUGAAAGGGAAAACCCCAGUGAUGGAACUUCUCCCUCCAACACCUGCUCCCGUAAGAAUGGUGAAGAAGUGGCCGGCUCCAGAUUCUAACAUGGUGGCCUUAUCUACUGAUGGCUCCUUCAACCUCGAGGAUGGAACAACUGGUUCAGGGAUGAUCCUUAGAAAUUGUCAAGGGGAUGUCAUCUUUGCAUCCUACCGGAAACUGUUCCAAUGCAAUGACGCGCUAGAGUCGGAGCUUUAAGCAAUAAAAGAAGGGCUACAACUGGCUUUUAUUCAUGCCUCAUCACUGGUGGUGCUGCAAUCUGAUUCGUCGAUGGCUAUAAACAUGAUAGCUACCGCUGGUUAUGAUAGAUCUCUCUACGGUGUCCUAGUGGUAGAAAUUAAGAAUUUACUUUUGAAUAGGGAGGUUACUUUAUGUAAGAUUAGUCGUGAACAGAACAGAGUUGCACAUUGCUUAGCAAACUUUGGUCGUAGUGGUGAUAGCACCGCAUGUUGGUUGGGUAGACCACCUCCGUGUGUCACUAUGCUGGUUGCUGAGGAUUGUAAGUCGGUUGCAGUUUAAUAAAUCUCCCUAUUUCCCCGCAAAAAAAAACACCACCUUUACAAUCAAAAACAUUAAUUAUAUUCCAACAUGCGUUAAUAUGGUAAAUCCAUUUAAAUAACGUCACACAGGCUGUUGAGAAGAAAGGGUUAGGUUUUGCUUUAAAAAUAGAUAAAAAAAAUUGUGGGUCAAGUUUCUUGAUUCUCACUCGUUUUUAUUGAUUGUUACCAUCAAUUCAAUGGCCUCCGGGCACUAUUAGUAGACAUCGAUUUGGAACAGAACUCGGUGAAGUGGUCUACAAUUAGAAUGAAAACUUAGGAUUUCCUGCUAUAACAGUUGUUUGAUUGAAAAAAGGUGAACACCGGAAAUAAGAGGCGCAAAUAGAUAACGAUCAGUGCCCCGUUAUUUAUCAUUCUCACAACUUGCCAUGAGUCCAACUCCACGUGAAUAGGCAACUAUGUUCUUAGAAUUGCAAGUGGCAAUCCCUCCAUGCAUGCAGAUAGUUCAGCUUCUAGGGCACUUGUGCAAGCACUAUUAGGAAAGGGCUAUAGAUAAUAUAGACACUAAUGGCGCACCAGACAAAUGGUGCGCCACUACUAUAUAGCAGCGGCGCACCAUGUGCAGGUGUGCCAUUAGUGUGAUGGACACUAAUGGCGCACCACACACACGGUGCGCCACUACUAACAAACAUUUUUGUCCAAAAGUACUAAUGGCGCACCGGGGCAGAGUGCGCCAUUACUAGUUUAACUAGUAAUGGCGCACCACUCACUCAGUGCGCCACUACUAUAUUUUUUUUUUGCAAAACUACUAAUAGCGCACCAUCAGCUGGUGCGUCAUUAGUAACCAGGGUUACUAAUGGCGCAUUUGUAGGUGAUGCGCCAUUAGUAAUCUGGGACCAGCUAGAUAUUUUGGACAGCCACCUAUCACACUCACUUUCCCCACUUUCAUUCUCUCCACCUCCUCCUCCAAGCUUGUCUCGGGUGCCUCCUCCUCCUCACCUCAUUUGCAUCAUAGAUUCACCCAGAUUAAGUGGUUAAAUUACCUUUUUUUGAUAGGUAAGUAAGGGGAAAGCUUUUAUGUUGUAGAUCUACUUUUUUCUCCCUCUAACAACGUGCACCUGCACUUUUUAUGGCCUAGCUAGAUCUACGUAUGUUUGUGGUGUUGCAUAUGUUUGUGGUGUUGUAUAUAUGUUUGUGUUUGCAGGUACCGGUAUUUGAAAUGCGAUAGUUGCCAAUAUUUUGCCGGAAUGUUGAUUCAUUUCCGUUUCGGCGAGAAUUUGGCACUAUACAUUCUUUUUUGUCCUAUUUUUAGGCAAAGUCAUGCCAAAAAAAUUUUGUUCUAAAAUAUCGUUUUGCUCUACCCCGCAGGCGACCAUGGUCCGCACGAUGACCGAAGGCAUCGUGAAUAGGUUUUUGAGCUCCGCGAAGGCCGAGAUGCUUCAAAAGAACGAGAUGGAGAUAAGAUGUCCGUGUCGAAGAUGCAAGCUGAAGAGCCUUAUGGACCCGGAUUCCGUAAAGGUGCGGGACCACCUGCUCUUGCGUGGUUUCAUGGAUGGCUAUCGGUGGCAAGGUGAUGAAGAUGGUUAUGAAGUCGUCCAUGGGGGCAGGGCAAGAAAUGAGGAAGGGCAUGAGCAAGACAACCGCGGCGAGGGCGGGCGAGAAGACAAAGAAUCUCCAGGACACAGUCAUCAUGUAGAAGAUGGCGAACAUGAUGAUAAGGAAGAUGCCGGAGCAGACGAAGGGCAUGAUCAUGAAGAUGAAGAUGCCGGAGCAGACGACGAUGGACCAUCGAUGGCCUGGGUGCAGGAACCUCAUAUUCAAGAGCUGCUUCUCAAGCAGACGGAUAACGCAAGAGCUGCCGCCCGAGAGAAAGCCAAGCUGGAUCAACUGGAGAUAGACGCGGUUACUCCAUUGUAUGAAGGAUGCAGGCCCGAGGAUACCCGCCUGAAAGUAACGCUCAUGGCUCUGGAGAUGAAGGUAAAACACAAAAUGACCGACGCAUGCUUCGACGAGAACAUGUCAUUCUGGCACGAACGUCUUCCCAAGGGGAACAAGUGCCCGACCAGUUUCGAGGAGGCGAAGAAAAUUGUGUGUCCUCUGGAUUUACCGCACGUGAAAUACCACGUGUGCAUGAACAAUUGCAUCAUUUAUCGGGACGAGCACGCGGAGUCUACCAUAUGUCCGGUGUGCGGCGUCAGUCGAUACAAGAAGAGGAAGAAAGCUCCUCGAAAAGUGGUGUGGUACUUUCCGACCAAUCCUCGUCUGCAGCAGUAUUUCGCGGACCCUAAGGUAGCAAAGCUCCUGCGUUGGCAGGCGGAUAGGGAGAAGAAAAGCGAGAAGAUGACAGAAAUGAUCCAGAGAUAAAUAAAAAAGACAAGAUGUUGAGUCACCCUAAGGAUGCGAGCCAGUGGCAAGCGUUGAACUUCGAAUACCCAGAAUUUGGGGACGAUCCAAGGAACACCGUGCUGGGCGCGAGCACCGACGGAGUCAAUCUGUUUGGCAGCCAGAGAAGGACACAUAGCACCUAGCUUGUGUUUGUGUGGAUGUACAACCUUCCCCCCUGGUUGUGCAUGAAGAGGAAGUACAUUCACAUGAGUAUGCUAAUUGAAGGGCCGAAACAACCAGGGAACGACAUCAAUCUGUAUCUGGGGCUACUGAAAGAGGAGCUAGACACGCUGUGGAAAACGCCAGCCAAUACGUGGGACGCCGCAGAGAAAGAAUAUUUCCCUAUGAGAGCCGCACUGCUCACGACGGUGCACGACUAUCUCAGUUACGGAUAUGUCGCGGGGCAGGUGGUCCACGGAUUUUCUGGAUGCGUCAGGUGCAUGGAUGACACAACGUAUCGUCAGCUAGAUAGAGAUCCCGGGUCUUCGAAAACCGUGUUCAUGGGACAUCGAAGGUGGCUUCGCGACGAUGACUCAUGAAGAAAACGCAAGGAUCUGUUCGAUGGUGAAACCGAACCCCGAAAACGCCCCCGUAUGAGGAGCGGCGAGGAAAUAGACGAGUUGUUGAAAAAUUGGAAAGAGUGCCCACCGCCAGGAAAGGCGCCAGAGCCGGGAAAGAAGCGAAAGGCGCCAGAGCCACUGCUGAAGGUAUGGAAAACGAGGUCUGUUUUCUGGGACUUGCCGUACUGGAAGAUCCUCCGUGUGCCUCACAGCCUUGAUGUCAUGCAUAUCACGAAGAACGUGUGCGAGAGUCUGCUUGGUACCCUGCUCAAAAUGCCAGAGAGGACCAAAGAUGGGCCGAAAGCAAGGGCAGACUUGAAAUCAAUGGGCAUCAGGGAGGAGCUUCACGCUAAUGAUGAUGAUGAUGAUGAGGCGAAGCAGGACACGGAAAGUCGUCGCAAAGGCAAAAAGGCCAAGAAGACCGGAAAUGACUUCCCUCCCGCGUGCUUCACUCUAAGUCAGGAGGAGAUCGAUCAGUUUUUCACCUGCCUUGUAGGAGUAAAACUUCCUUACGGUUACGCGGGGAAGAUAAGCAGAUACCUAGACUCAGCGAAGCACAAGUUCAGCGGGAUGAAGUCUCACGACUGUCACGUGAUGAUGACGCAGAUACUUCCAGUUGCAAUCUGUGGGAUCAUGGACGCGCACGUCCGUGAAACGCUAUUUGGCCUAUGCAACUUUUUCAACGUCAUCUCUCGGAAGUCGGUUGGCGUGAGGCAACUCAGAAGGCUACAGGAAGAGAUCGUGGUGAUACUAUGCGAGCUUGACAUGUACUUCCCGCCCGCAUUCUUCGACGUUAUGCUGCAUCUGCUGGUCCAUAUCGUGGAGGAUAUCAUCCAACUCGGGCCGACGUUCCUGCACAGCAUGAUGCCGUUCGAAAGGAUGAAUGGUGUCAUCAAAGGAUACGUUCGCAACAUGUCACGUCCAGAGGGAAGCAUAGCCAGGGGCUUUCUGACCGAAGAGUGCAUCUCCUACUGCACGAAUUAUCUAGGCAUCGAGAACCCCGUUGGUCUGCCCAUCAACAGGCACCUCGGCAGGCUCGCUGGAUGGGGUCACCGUGAGGGUCGCCGCGAAAUGCUUGUCGACUUCGAAGGUCGACUCGCCGACUUUGAAAGAGCAAACCUAGUCGCGCUACAACACGUAGACGUGGUCGAUCCUUGGGUGGUAGAGCACAAAACCUUUAUUGAGAAGACGUACAAUGACAAGGCCAACAGAGGAGGAAUGAAGAUAUAAUCAAAGAGCACAACUCAUGUUUCACGCGUUGGUUCAAGCAGAAGCUUCUGUCGUACCCUUUACAUGAGGAUUCUUCCGCGGAAGAACAACUCAUAUUCGCCUUGUCACAAGGCGCCGAGCACAACCUGAUGACGUAUGAGGCAUACGAUAUCAACGGCUACACAUUCUACACCGAGGGAAAGGACAUGAAGAGCGAUGGUUAUCAGAACUCCGGGGUAACGAUGGAAUCCUACACCGGUAACGACAAGGACAAAUACUACGGAAGGAUCGAGGAGAUCUGGGAGAUGAGCUACGCUGGAGAGAAGGUCCCGAUGUUCCGUGUCAGAUGGGCCAAGAGCGUCAUAAAAGAAGACCGGUAUUUCACCACCAUGGUUAUAUACCCGAAGCCAAAUCCAAGACCGCGGGCGCAAACGUCACCGCGAAAAAUGAGCCAUGGGUACUGGCUUCCCAAGUGGACCAAUGCUUCUUCAUUACCGACCCGCCAAAACCGAGUCAUGUUGUCAUGAGGAGAGGCAAAAGGAAGAUCAUCGGAAUGGAUGGAGUCGCCAAUGAGCAAGACUUCGACAAGUACGGCGACCCGAAGAUGGAACAUGACGACGACGGUGAAAUAGCAGCAUACACCACAAGAAGAAGCAGGACCACCCUACCUAAAGGAAGUCCGUUCAAGAGAAGAACUCCAUUUACGAAAAAUAAGGGUAAGAAGAUUGUGAACAGAUAGCUAGCUAAGAUCGAUUGUAUUUAAAUUGUAGCCUUCAUUUCUCAGUUGUAUUUUGACAUAUUGAAAUGACAUUUCUUCUGUUCUAGUGUCCUCGUGAAUAUUUAUUUAUGUUUAUUAUGGUAUUGAAUUUAUAACUCACAAAAAGUAUUGAAUUUGUUAAUAUUUUUUGAACUCAUGAAUAUUUUUAAAUUUCAUGGGCACUUUUUGAAUUCAUGAUUAUUUUUUUAAAUUUGAUGAUAUUUUUUCAUAUUCAAUAUGAAAAAAUAAUGAAUAUUCAUGAGGACAUUCGAUCUCGAUCCCCCUCCAUCUCGAUCGCUCGCCAGAUCCCCCUCGCCGCCGAGCACCCCCGCACCCUCCCC